CCUACGGGAGGCAGCAGUGGGGAAUAUUGCUCAAUGGGCGAAAGCCUGACGCAGCAACGCCGCGUGAGGGAUGAAGGUUUUCGGAUUGUAAACCCCUUUUGGUAGAGAAGAUAAUGACGGUAUCUAACGAAUAAGCAACGGCUAGCUCCGUGCCAGCAGCCGCGGUAAUACGGAGGGUGCGAGCGUUAAUCGGAAUCACUGGGCGUAAAGAGCGCGUAGGCGGGAUGGCAAGUCAGAUGUGAAAUCCUAGGGCUUAACCAUGGAACUGCCUUUGAAACUGGUAUUCUAGAGUAUGGGAGAGGUAGGUGGAAUUCUUGGUGUAGGGGUAAAAUCCGUAGAGAUCAAGAGGAAUACUGAUUGCGAAGGCGACCUGCUGGAACAUAACUGACGCUGAGGCGCGAAAGCGUGGGGAGCAAACAGGAUUAGAUACCCCAGUAGUC
rnacentral:rRNA from 1 species